CUGGAGGACUGUGUCAUUUCCUUCAACCUACAAAAUGACAAGGAGAAAUGGGCCUGUGAGCCAGGCUUUGGCUGGACCCAGGAGAUUUCUACAUCACCCUUUCUUCUGGUGCUGCUGCACAUGGAUAAAGAGCCCACCAAGUUCCUGUUGGAAACAAAUAAUGGAUUUGUGAGGAGUAAGAAUAAAGAUGGUGUUGAAGAUGGAGAGUGAGAAAGGCAACCGCAGACUCCCAGAAAUGAAGUUCUGAAAUGAAGGACUUCCUGCAACACACGGACCAACCAUCCAUCCAAUGAAACAACCAAACAA